rnacentral:lncRNA from 1 species
CUCUCUAGGAACUGUGCAACUGCAGUAUCCCAGAGGUCAAGUCUUCUUCAAGCUCAGCCCAGUGAGAUCUAAAAUUGGGAACUUACCAGAAACUAGCAGAAAAGUAUGGCAAAAAGGAGGUAAUUAACAGCAUAUCCAGUGGGACAUCAUUGAAGAGACACACCUGUGGCAUACACCCUACAGGAGAUUACAACAGAGGGAACCAAAGCUCCCAGAAGUUAACUAGUGCUUUUGUCCCUGGACUUCAAGACUUCACCUAUAAAAAUAUAGCACAAGCUUGGCUUCCAUUUAUAAAGUCUAACAACUAUCAUCUUAAGAUGCAGG